GACGAACGCUGGCGGCGUGCUUAACACAUGCAAGUCGAACGGAAAGGCCUUGCUUUUGUGGGGUGCUCGAGUGGCGAACGGGUGAGUAACACGUGAGUAACCUGCCCUUGACUUUGGGAUAACUUCAGGAAACUGGGGCUAAUACCGGAUAGGAGCUCCUGCUGCAUGGUGGGGGUUGGAAAGUUUCGGCGGUUGGGGAUGGACUCGCGGCUUAUCAGCUUGUUGGUGGGGUAGUGGCUUACCAAGGCUUUGACGGGUAGCCGGCCUGAGAGGGUGACCGGCCACAUUGGGACUGAGAUACGGCCCAGACUCCUACGGGAGGCAGCAGUGGGGAAUAUUGCACAAUGGGCGGAGGCCUGAUGCAGCAACGCCGCGUGCGGGAUGACGGCCUUCGGGUUGUAAACCGCUUUCGCCUGUGACGAAGCGUGAGUGACGGUAAUGGGUAAAGAAGCACCGGCUAACUACGUG
rnacentral:rRNA from 1 species